AUAUUUAUAUGACCAAAAAUCUCUUUUUUAUUUAUAUAAUUGGAAGGAUUACAUUGAGUACAAUUUCAAAAACCAAAUGAAAAAUACAAGAGAAAAGGAGACUAGUCAUCCUAAGGAUCCCUAACAACGUCAGAAGACCUAGUUGAAGGCGCGUACUUCCUUCGAAUGCGGCGGAUCUCGGUCUCAAAAGAAGCCAACUUGUUAAGGACUACUCCACACAAGUUGAACAUGACUAUACCAUCCUCCUAUCUUAAUUGCACUCAAGUUCGGGUUAGAACUUAUAUCACCACUCAGAGAUCACCAAGCACAACAAGCAGAUUAUAUCAC
rnacentral:lncRNA from 1 species